rnacentral:rRNA from 1 species
AAGUAUAUGCAUAUUUUAUAUGUAGAAACUGCGAACGGCUCAUUAAAACAGUUAUAAUCUACUUGACAUUUUUCUUAUAAGGAUAACUACGGAAAAGCUGUAGCUAAUACUUGAAUUUUUUUAUUAUGUAUUUUAUAUAUAAUAAAAAGUACUUGUUAAGCCUUAUAAAAAAAAUUUAAUUAAAGGAAUUAUAACAAAGAAGCGACACAUUGUGGCUCUCCAGUCACUAAGUGCGUAUCAAUCGAGUUUCUGACCUAUCAGCUUUUGAUGUUAGGAUAUGGGCCUAACAUGGCUAUGACGGGUAACGGGGAAUUAGAGUUCGAUUCCGGAGAGGGAGCCUGAGAAACGGCUACCACAUCUAAGGAAGGCAGCAGGCGCGUAAAUUACCCAAUUCUAAAGAAGAGAGGUAGUGACAAGAAAUAAUAGGACAAGACCGAUUUCGGUUUUGAAUCUGUGCUGAUAGGAAUUUAAAAACUUCCUAAAAUUCCAUUGGAGGGCAAGUCUGGUGCCAGCAGCCGCGGUAAUUCCAGCUCCAAUAGCGUAUAUUAAAAUUGUUGCAGUUAAAACGCUCGUAGUUGAAUUUCAAAAAAUCGAUAUUAAAAGUGAUAAUUGUAUUAGAAUGAAUUAGUAAUCUUAUUGGAACUUGUUUCCUUUAAGUUCUUUUUCAAUUCUUUUACAACUUUAUCCUUUUAAAAAUUAAUGAUUUUUUUUAAAAUUUUUAAUUUUUUAAAAUUAAAAAUUUUGUUACUUUGAGUAAAUUAGAGUGUUCAAAGCAAACAUUGCCAAACAUUGUAACCAAUGUGUUUGAAUACUAAAGCAUGGAAUAACAAAAUUGAGCAAACCAAGAAUUUUUGUUCGUUUUUUUUGUUUUGGUUUAGUUACGAUUAAUAGGAGUAGUUUGGGGGCAUUUGUAUUCAGAUGUUAGAGGUGAAAUUCUUAGAUUUUCUGGAGACAAACAACUGCGAAAGCAUUUGCCUAAAAUACUUCCAUUAAUCAAGAACGAAAGUUAAGGGAGUGAAGACGAUCAGAUACCGUCGUAAUCUUAACCAUAAACGAUGCCGACUAGGUUUUGGAUGAAAGAUCAUUCAUUUUUUAGUUAUUAAAACAUAGCAUAUAGUUUCGGCUAUAUUGCUUUUUUUAAUACUAAAAAUAAGUUGCUUCCUUCAGUACCUUAUGAGAAAUCAAAGUUUUUGGGUUCUGGGGCGAGUAUUCGCGCAAGCGAGAAAGUUAAAAGAAUUGACGGAAGGGCACCACCAGGCGUGGAGCUUGCGGCUUAAUUUGACUCAACACGGGAAAUCUCACUAGUUUAAGACAAGAGUAGGAUUGACAGAUUGAUAGUUCUUUCUUGAUUUCUUGGAUGGUGAUGCAUGGCCGUUUUUAGUUCGUGAAUUUUGAUUUGUCUGGUUAAUUCCGAUAACGAACGAGAUCUUAACUUGCUAAUUAGCGAUGAAUACACUGUAUUCUUAAGAAAUAAUAGAAUUUUUGUAUAGAUAAUUAUUUUUUCCUUAUCUUUUAUGGUUUGGUUAAAAAAUUCUUUCUGUCAAAUUUCUGUUAUUUUCUUAAGAAUGUAUUCGUUUGAUUUGAAAGCUUCUUAGAGGAACGAUGUGUGUUUAACACAAG